UUUAGAGAUUUGCCUCUUUCGUCGGACACACACUGCUGCUGAAUUAUAUUGCUCAUUUCAGAAUUCAGCCUUCAACGCAGCGGAUUGGGACGCUUUGAAAAUAUCUCGACAACGAUAAUGCUUGCAUGGGACCGUCUUAUCCUCUCCUUGGAAAGAAAGCGUUGACAAUCUUUGGCCUCAUCUGACUUUUUUCCUCCCUUCCUGUACUUCCCGUCGCUCUUUGUGCGAUCUGAGACGGAUGAAACCGAACAGAACCGUUUCGGUUGCCACGCUGUGAGAGCUGAAAUGAAAAUCUCUGAUGGAUCCGUGUCACUCUAUAUAAUCAUAUCUUUGACGAACAGCUGCGGUCUACAAAUAGCAUGCAUCCACACAGCUCCUCCCUCAUGGCUGCCGGGGAAUCGGCGGCCCAUUAUAGGGCUGAAAUGGGCCUGAAGAAUUUUUUCGCCUCAUCUCCUCAGCCUCACCUCCAGUCAAGUGAAAGAGCUGACAAGCAGUAAGGGUGAACGAAGAAGAGAGCGGGGUAGGCAGCAGGCAAUUUGCACGAAUUUAAUGAGCAGUAUGUUGAUUAAUGGUGAUUAGGUAAAUUGUUGUUUCUAUCUAGGCUCCGUUUUCACACCGAAUCUGUAGUUAACAAGGAGGAGAAAUUUUCCUAACAAGGGAGGAUGCCAUUUGUUCUCAUUCCCCUCCAAAAUAUGCCUUCUGGGAUACAAUUCCACAAUGAGGCGACUCAGACAGACCCAUGAUCGGUGAAAAAUAAUUACGAGCCUGCAGCAGGCCAGUAGGAUUAGUUGCAUGGUUAGUAAAUGUACAUGAGGCCUCGUCUGUUGUUCAAGUCCAUCCCAACUACCUCUCUCAUGUUUAUCUGUUCAUUGUUUACUGAUGUCCUCUGCUAUUCUAAUGUUUGAUGAUGUUUGUGAUUAAAUGACCUUCACACGCUGACACAUCCACGCACACGAACACACACAAAGUAAUCAGCGACACUUUUAGCUACGACGUUCUACUACUCAAACUUAUAAAGGCUGUUUUGUUAGAAUGCGGUAGCUUAAUCUUUUGAUUAUUUUCUGCAAUUGACCUUUGUUACGUGUUGUGAGGAAUUCUCACAGAUUAAGAUAACAAUGUUUCUCUUAAAACUCAAAUGGGACUGAACUUUGCUGCAGUAUAUCCCGUCAACAUGACAACGUGAAAAAAUAUGAUGUACAACUGAGGAUAUUUCUCUUUUAAACAUCUUCUAGGCUCUUUCCUCACAAUAUGGGAGGUCAUUUAUUGUUAGUAUUUAAUGACAAAAACUGGCAUAAAUGAUUAGUUAUCAUCUGAUUGAUGGAUGUUUUUUGUUCAUUUCAUCUUUAAUCUUGAAUGUUUCUGUGUACAUUAAACAUAACAGGCUUAUCACAGCAUUGCCUUUCUUUAGCUCUCCAUGCUUUCAUCUGUUUUCCCCUGUUUAACGUCACGUUGCAAUGACUUGUGGGUAAACCCUUGGGCAAAGUCAAAAUCUAAAGCUGACUCACAGAUUGGGUUCAUAAAGGACUCAAAAUGUCUGCCAGAGAGCCGUCAAACACUCAAACAAUAGACAGUGGGACAGCACUCAGCCAUCACAGAGUCAGCGGGAGGAACGCGAUUUCUAGAGAUUCGCUUGCAAUUGAGGUGUAAAACCUUUGUUACAUAAAUUGCUUCAUUACCGCAAAAAAAGAGCAAUAUUCUCAUUA
ensembl:lncRNA